AGAGACGAAAUAGAGAAAAGGGAGAGAGCGAAAGAUACUCCACUCUCUGCUACUCCAGCAGCAGCUCCAGCUUCGUCUGAUCCGCCGCCAUCAGCGCUACUUUUGUAACAGAUCCUACUCCGCGUGUGUGUGUGAAAAUGACAGAGCAGACCCAGUAUUCAUAUUGGUUUUACAUCCUUUGUUUUAAGAGUCACAUCAUCUCGAAUGUAUUAACUCACAACAAUUUCGGUAAAACAGAGGAGUGCUCGUCUCCAUUUUAAAGAUGGCAAAAGGAUCAAAGCUGAGAUCCACAAAUGAAGAAUUGAGUGUUCGCAUUGCCCGGGCUCAAAGCCAGCACGAUAUUUCAGUUGCAAUCUGUAAAGCAUGCAGUCACUCAUCUACAUUGUUUCUGGAUUGGAGCUGGCACUUGACGGCUGGUGGGAAGAACUCCCAGUUGUCUUCACCUAUCCACCUACCUGUAGGUACGUAGGAUUCAGGGUUUGGAUGCAAGUCCGAAAUAGCAUUUUCUAAAAUGAUUUUGCAGCCUGUAGACUCAAACAGUCUGAAAAGUAUCUCUAGCCCAGCUUUUGUAGGUCUCCAUAGGCUUUAUAGUUUUGCCACCCGAAGUGGCACCACUUUGCAUAUUUAGCUGUAACUGCUCACCUGAGUACUUCUGCUUCCCCACAGGGAUGCAACAGGCAACUGCAGAGUCAUGGGCCUGUGACAUGAAAGUUCUGCUUCACACAGGAUGUACCAUGAUGAGAUCCAGGGUAGAAAGAAAAUGUUGGAGAGUGGAUUAAAGGACUGACUAGAGAGUGCAGGCAGCCUGAUCUCAAUUUCUAGUUUCAGGAGGAAAAAAGCUCUUAUUGAAGUCUGCACCAGAUGGAAAUGCAGAACCCAGCCCAUUGCAAGUAAGAUGAAUUGUUUUACAUUUGAAUUUGAUAUAAUUUAUAUUGUAAAAACUUUGUGACCUACAUCCAGCAGCAAGAUAGUCAACACUGCUUUGUUCUCACCCUUGCUUUUAUUCAUAUUUGAGUAAGUAUGCUGGAUCUGGUAGCAAAACUUUCACUACCUGAUAUAGCAGUUUACAUUUUUCUUGUUAUUGUCAGAUCUUAGGAAAACAUUCAUCCUAAUUCUAGUCAUGAGAACAGGGAUGUAUGCAUUUUCACACUGAAAGUUUUUUUGUUUGUUUGAGUUUUUUGACACUGCAAUUAAACCAACAAUAAUUUUAGAAUAGUUUAAUAUUGAAACUUGGAGUCCAGCAUAACAUAUAUUCUCUCAGUGAAUACCAAGAAAAAUAUCUUAAAACAAACUGCUGGGCAUCUUAAACUUCAUCCAUUGUGAUGGUUUUGCUUGGUAUAGAGUUGAUUUUGCUUUCCUGAUGUGUGUGGUUUUUGCUUUACCUAUUGUUCUGUCUUUGUCUCAACUCACAAGUUGUUUUCUCACUUUUACCCUUCAGAUUGUCUCCCACAUCCAAGUGGUGAGGAGUGAGUGAACGGCUGUGUGGGGCUGAGUUGCUGGCUGGGGUUAAAUCACAGCAGCCAUUUCAGGAGAAAGCAUAAUGGAGAGUUUAGUCAAUUAUCACUGGUCUUGGUACAUCUACACAAGAUCACUGUAGCACUUUGUGGAGAUGUUAGUUUGGUUCUGGAAGGCUCUAUGUCCAUUCUAGUAUAGUUAUUAUGCUUCUGAGUUUCAAAGGAAAAUUAAGUUAUUUGUUCAAGAAUCACUGUAUUGUAUUUCACAGUGUAAUGUAGAAGUGCUCACUGUAAAUCUCAUAUUGAUGUUAUGACACUAUUCACAGAAAACUAUAAAUACCAGUAAUCUUGUUGGAGAAAACUCUCAAUUAUAAAUGUUAAACUGUGGUAUGUUCUGAACUUGUAAAGAAAUAUAACUUCUAAGAUCAGUCUUAUAAAAAUAACAUAUGUUAAGGUUGUAAUAAAGUGACAUAAUAUUUUUGUA